rnacentral:rRNA from 1 species
AGCGUAGGUGGCCUAACAUGUCAACUGUGAAAACCCGGAGCUCAACUCCGGACUUGCAGUUGAAACUGGUAGGCUUGAGGACGGUAGAGGAAGACGGAACUGCCAGUGUAGGGGUAAAAUCCUUAGAUAUUGGCAGGAACGCCGGUGACGAGGGUGGUUUUCUGGGCCGGUUCUGACACUGAUGCUCGAAAGCCAGGGGAGCGAACG